AUUACUACUCAAAGGUGCUUAAAACCCUUAUAAUUAGGUCUACAAAAUAACACUUUUCGGUAGUAAUCACACCCCCCAACUGACUCAUUGCUAGUCCCUUAGCAAUGGAGGAGAUAAAAACUAAGCAAACAUAAUAAUAUACAUAAAAGAGGUCAUGCAAAUCACUCCAAAAAAUAAUUGAGUGGCAUGACUGAUAUCAAAAC
rnacentral:lncRNA from 1 species